AGCUGUGCAAUGGACCCUCAAGACCGGCUGUUCUUAGGGCUUACUUUCUUUUUCGAUGGUUGUAGGUGCUGUAAUGGAAGAAAGACGUAGAACAUGUUUCAUCUGUAAAGUUACACAGGGAUUUCCAGACAAGCAUGGGCUUCAUGAAGCAGUCCUGUCUGAAAAAAUAUAUAAGGAAGAUUAGUAAAAUAGAAAUGUCAAGCAUGAUGGCACAUACUAUAAUUUCAGCGUUCAGAGGAAGGCUAAUGCAGACGACUGACUUUGCUUUUCAUCUGCUACUUUAUGGGCGAUGCCCCCAAUAG
rnacentral:lncRNA from 1 species